rnacentral:lncRNA from 1 species
UUUUUUUUUUUUGUUAAUGUGGUGUAUGAUUGAUUUACAUAUAUUGGACCAUCCUUGUGAACCUGAGAUGAAUCUCAUUUGGUCACGGUGUAUAAUCUUUUUUAUAUGUUGUUGGACUUUGCUGGCUAAAAUUUUGUUCAGAAUUUUUGCAUCUAUAUUCAUCAAAGAUAUUGGCCUUUAGUUUUCUUUUUUGGUAGUGUCUUUUUCUGGUUUUGGUAUUAGGGUGAUGAUGGCUUCAUAGAACGUCUUUGGGUAUGUUCCUUCUUCUUCAACCUUUUGGAAACAUUCAAGAAGAAUGAUAAUAAGUUCUUUGUAUGUUUGGUAGAAUUCACCUAUGAAGCCAUCUGGUCCUGGACUUUUGGUUGUAGGAAGUGUUUUUAUUACAUAUUCAAUUUCAUUUCUAGUGAUCUGGCUCUUCUGUUGAUCUAUUUCUUCUUGAUUCAGUUUUGGCAGGCUGUAUGUCUCUAGACAGUUGUCCAUUUAUUCUAGGUUGUCAAAUUUGUUGGCAUAUAACUAUUCAUAGUAGUCUCUUAUUUUUUUUGUUUUUGUAGUAUUCAUUGAGAUUCCUCCUUUUUUAUUUCUUAUUUUAUUUGAGUUCUUUCUCUCCUCUUCUUGGUGAGCCUGGCCAGAGGUUUGUCAAUUUUGUUUAUCCUUUCAAAGAACCAGCUCUUGGUUUUAUUGAUUGUGCACAUAGAACAUUCUCAAGGAUUGACUACAUACUGGGGCAUAAAAAUAACCUCAACAAAUUUAAGAGUAUAGACAUUAUUUCACAUCUUCACAAUGGCAUGAAACUAGAAAUCAACCACAGGAAAAGAAAUGAGAAAAAACUGACUCAUGGAGACUAAACAACAUGCUAAUAAAAAACCAUGGGUCAACAAGAAAAUCAAAAUGGAAAUUAAAAAAAUACUUUGAGAUAAAUGAUAAUGAAAACACAGCCACUCAAAAUCUAUGGGAUGCCACAAAAGCAGUACUUAGAGGGACAUUCAUAGCAAUACAAGCCUUCCUCAAAAAAGAAGAAAAAUCUCAAACCAACAACUUAACCCACCACCUAAAAUAAUUGGAAAAAGAACAAACAAAACCUAAAGUCAGCAGAGGGAAAUCAUAAAGAUCAAAGAAGAAAUGAAUAGAAUAGAGAUCCUUGGAUUUCCUGUUGUGGCUCAGCUGUUAACAAACCUGACUAGUAUCCAUGAAGACAAAGGGUUCAAUCUCUGGCCUCACUCAGUGGGUUAAGGAUGCACUCACAUUGCCAUGAGUGGUGGUAUAUGUUGCAGACACAGCUCGGAUCCUCCGUACUGUGGCUGUUGCAUAGGCCAGCAGCUAUAGCUCUGAUUUGACCCCUAGUCUGGGAACUUCCAUGUGCCAUGGGUAUGACCCCAAAAAAGAUAGAAAAAAUAAAAUAAAAUAAGAUCCUUGAUGGUUCUUAAGAGCCAAACUUUAUCUUUCCAUUCCUGUGAACAUGCUGCAAGCUCUGAGCUUGUAAGUUGAAAGCUCUGCUUAUCUACUAAGCCCCAUGGUGCUUGAGUAUUGGCAAAUUUCUCAAGAGGCAAAUUGAAGGAGAAUAUCAAGUUCACAUUUGUGUGCAUCUGUUCCCUCUGUGAUUUUGUCCCUUUAAGUGUUGCUCCUGAGUGCCCUCGAACAGCUGAUUUCUUUUAUGGGAUUUGGUCCAGCUUCUUGCUGAGAAU